ACCCUCCCACCUCCUGGACAGCAUCCACAUUGAAUAUGGAUGCUGUCCAGGAGGUGGGAGGGU
rnacentral:miRNA from 1 species